CUUGUACUCCCUCCGUCCGAAAAUACUUGUCAUUAAAAUGGAUGUAUCUAGAUGUAUUUUAGUUCUAGACACAUCCAUUUUGAUGACAAGUAAUUCCGGAUGGAGGGAUUACUUG
rnacentral:pre_miRNA from 1 species